rnacentral:rRNA from 1 species
ACUCCUACGGGAGGCAGCAGUGGGAAUCUUGGACAAUGGGCGCAAGCCUGAUCCAGCCAUGCCGCGUGAGUGAUGAAGGCCUUAGGGUCGUAAAGCUCUUUCGCCAGGGAAGAUAAUGACGGUACCUGGUAAAGAAACCCGCCUGACUCAGUGCCAGCCAGCCGCGGGUAAUACGGAGGGGGUUAGCGUUGUUCGGAAUUACUGGGCGUAAAGCGCGCGUAGGCGGACUAUUAAGUCAGGGGUGAAAUCCCGGGGCUCAACCCGACAUGCCCUUGAUACUGGUAGUCUUGAGUUCGAGAGAGGUGAGUGGAAUUCCGAGUGUAGAGGUGAAAUUCGUAGAUAUUCGGAGGAACACCAGUGGCGAAGGCGGCUCACUGGCUCGAUACUGACGCUGAGGUGCGAAAGUGUGGGGAGCAAACAGGAUUAGAUACCCUGGUAGGCUCUGC